rnacentral:rRNA from 1 species
AGAAUCAACGCUGGCGGCGUGCCUAACACAUGCAAGUCGAACGAGAAAGUGGAGCAAUCCAUGAGUAAAGUGGCGACCGGGUGAGUAACACGUGACUAACCUACCCUUGAGUGGGGGAUAACCUAGAGAAAUCUGGGCUAAUACCGCAUAAUACCUUCGGGUCAAAGGAGCAAUUCGCUUAAGGAGGGGGUCGCGGCCGAUUAGUUAGUUGGCGGGGUAAUGGCCCACCAAGACUAUGAUCGGUA